GACGUAGGGCGCGAGCGUUUGUCCGGAUUUAUUGGGCGUAAAGAGCUCGUAGGCGGCUUGUCGCGUCGACCGUGAAAACUUGGGGCUCAACCCCAAGCCUGCGGUCGAUACGGGCAGGCUAGAGUUCGGUAGGGGAGACUGGAAUUCCUGGUGUAGCGGUGAAAUGCGCAGAUAUCAGGAGGAACACCGAUGGCGAAGGCAGGUCUCUGGGCCGAUACUGACGCUGAGGAGCGAAAGCGUGGGGAGCGAACAGG
rnacentral:rRNA from 1 species